GACGAACGCUGGCGGCGUGCUUAACACAUGCAAGUCGCACGAAGUGGCGAACGGGUGAGUAACGCGUAAUCAACCUGCCCUUCAGGGGGGGACAACAGUUGGAAACGACUGCUAAUACCGCAUACUGAUGGAGUGGAUUGCGUCUGAUUAUCUAGUUGGAGGGGUAACGGCCCACCAAGGCGAUGAUCAGUAGCCGGUCUGCGAGGACGACCGGCCAAAUUGGGACUGAGACACGGCCCAGACUCCGACGGGAGGCAGCAGUGGGGAAUCUUCCGCAAUGGACGAAAGUCUGACGGAGCAACGCCGCGGGAGUGAUGACGGCCUUCGGGUUGUAAAGCUCUGUUAAUCGGGACGCGGUACCGGAAUAGAAAGCCACGGCUAACUACGUGCCAGCAGCCGCGGUAAUUC
rnacentral:rRNA from 1 species